rnacentral:rRNA from 1 species
GAUGAACGCUGGCGGCGUGCCUAAUACAUGCAAGUCGAGCGAACAGAUGAGGCGCUUGCUCCUCUGACGUUAGCGGCGGACGGGUGAGUAACAUGUGGAUAACCUACCUAUAAGACUGGGAUAAUUUCGGGACACCGGAGCUAAUACCGGAUAAUCUAUUGAACCGCAUGGUUCAAUAGUGAAAGACGGUUUUGCUGUCACUUAUAGAUGGAUCCGCGCUGUAUUAGCUAGUUGGUAGGGUAACGGCUUAUCAAGGCAACGAUGCGUAUCCGACCUGAGAGGCUGGUCGGCCACACGGGAACGGAGACACGGACCAGACUCCUGCGGGAGGCAGCAGUGGGGAAUCUGCCGCAAUGGGGGAGAGCCUGACGGAACAACGCCGCGUGAGAGAUAGAGGUCUUCGGAGCGUAAAACUCUGUUAUGAGGGAAGAACAAAUGUGUAAGUAACUAUGCACGUCUUGACGGUACCUAGUCAGAAAGCCACGGCUAACUACGUG